AGUGAACGCUGGCGGUAGGCCUAACACAUGCAAGUCGAACGGCAGCACCGUAAGUGCUUGCGCUUACGGGUGGCGAGUGGCGGACGGGUGAGGUAUACAUCGGAAUCUACUUUUUCGCGGGGGAUAACGUAGGGAAACUUACGCUAAUACCGCAUACGACCUACGGGUGAAAGCAGGGGAUCUUCGGACCUUGCGCGAUUGAAUGAGCCGAUGUCGGAUUAGCUAGUUGGCGGGGUAAAGGCCCACCAAGGCGACGAUCCGUAGGUGGUCUGAGCGGAUGAUCAGCCACACUGGAAGAGAGACACGGUCCAGACUCCUACGGGAGGCAGCAGUGGGGAAUAUUGGACAAUGGGCGCAAGGCUGAUCCAGCCAUACCGCGUGGGUGAAGAAGGCGUUCGGGUGGUAGAACCCUUUUGGUGGGAAAGAAGAGCAGCAGGUUAAUCCCGCGCUGUUCUGACGGUACCCAAAGAAUAAGCACCGGCUAACUUCGUG
rnacentral:rRNA from 1 species